UUCUUUCCGUAUAUUACGUUAUGUGGGAUCGCCCGCAUAUUUAUAAGGGAUUCCAAAAUCCUUAUGGCUUAGAGAUAAGGCCAAAUCGGUUAUUAAUUGUUAUCCUAAUAUGACUAGGAUUUAUCUCUAACUAACUUUUCAAUUUGAAAGCGAGAUUAAUUCCAAUCCAAUUAGAUAACAUAAUAUCCGUCGGAUCGAACCCGCUUAUGGGCGUACCCGAUUCGAUUUAACCGAAUGCCAACAUC
rnacentral:lncRNA from 1 species